CGACCGGCGCACGGGUGGUAACAAGUAUCCAACCUGCCGUCUACUCUUGGACAGCCUUCUGAAAGGAAGAUUAAUACAAGAUGGCAUCAUGAGUUCACAUGUUCACAUGAUUAAAGGUAUUCCGGUAGACGAUGGGGAUGCGUUCCAUUAGAUAGUAGGCGGGGUAACGGCCCACCUAGUCUUCGAUGGAUAGGGGUUCUGAGAGGAAGGUCCCCCACAUUGGAACUGAGACACGGUCCAAACUCCUACGGGAGGCAGCAGUGAGGAAUAUUGGUCAAUGGGCGAGAGCCUGAACCAGCCAAGUAGCGUGAAGGAUGACUGCCCUAUGGGUUGUAAACUUCUUUUAUAAAGGAAUAAAGUCGGGUAUGCAUACCCGUUUGCAUGUACUUUAUGAAUAAGGAUCGGCUAACUCCGUGCCAGCAGCCGCGGUAAUACGGAGGAUCCGAGCGUUAUCCGGAUUUAUUGGGUUUAAAGGGAGCGUAGAUGGAUGUUUAAGUCAGUUGUGAAAGUUUGCGGCUCAACCGUAAAAUUGCAGUUGAUACUGGAUAUCUUGAGUGCAGUUGAGGCAGGCGGAAUUCGUGGUGUAGCG
rnacentral:rRNA from 1 species